UNGUGCCGCCCUAGAGCUAUUUGUCAGG
rnacentral:piRNA from 1 species